rnacentral:rRNA from 1 species
UACGGGGGGGGCAAGCGUUGUUCGGAAUUACUGGGCGUAAAGGGCUCGUAGGCGGCCAACUAAGUCAGACGUGAAAUCCCCAGGCUCAACCUGGGAACUGCGUCUGAUACUGGAUGGCUUGAAUCCGGGAGAGGGAUGCAGAAUUCCAGGUGUAGCGGUGAAAUGCGCAGAUAUCAGGAGGAACACCGGUGGCGAAGGCGGGUCUCUGGGCCGAUACUGACGCUGAGGAGCGAAAGCGUGGGGAGCGAACAGG